rnacentral:tRNA from 1 species
GACAUAAAUGAAUCUAUGUUACGGCCAUAGAAUAGAUGGUUAAUUCAUCAUAUGUUU